rnacentral:rRNA from 1 species
GGAUUAGAUACCCUGGUAGUCCACGCCGUAAACGAUGUCUACUUGGAGGUUGUUCCCUUGAGGAGUGGCUUUCGGAGCUAACGCGAUAAAUAGACCGCCUGGGGAGUACGGCCGCAAGGUUAAAACUCAAAUGAAUUGACGGGGGCCCGCACAAGCGGUGGAGCAUGUGGUUUAAUUCGAUGCAACGCGAAGAACCUUACCAUCCCUUGACAUCCUGAGAAGUUAGCAGAGAUGCUUUCGUGCCUUCGGGAACUCAGUGACAGGUGCUGCAUGGCUGUCGUCAGCUCGUGCCG